UUGCUUCAGAUUAGAAACAAUACAGAAAAGAUUAGCAUGGCCCCUUUGCAAAGAUGACACAAACAUUUAUGAAGCAUUCCGUAUUUUU
rnacentral:snRNA from 1 species